GCGCUCCUAGCUCAGCAGGAUAGAGCAACAGCCUUCUAAGCUGUGGGUCGGGCGUUCGAAUCGCCCGGAGCGCGCCA
rnacentral:tRNA from 2 species